CAGUCAUUGCCAACCGAUGCCACCAGCAUUCAUGUGAACAGAGGAAGUUGAGCAAACAGGAGAUGUACGUUGCAAUUUGCUGUGACGUCAUGUGAGAACCGGCGGCACUCCCUUCUGAAGUAAAACGUCUGAUUGGAGGGAAGAUCAUCAUCCUUUAAAGACUGUCACCGUCCUGAUCCGCUGCACCUUCAGUUACUUCAUCCUCCAGCAGCGUCUGAUUAAACAUGUCUGUCUCUUUAUGUUUCAUGAGUGGGUGUGAAAACCUCUGGGUGGAUUUGUACAUAAAUAGUUAAACCAA